rnacentral:rRNA from 1 species
UCGGGAAUUUUGGGCAAUGGGGGAAACCCUGACCCAGCAACGCCGCGUGAAGGAUGAAGUAUUUCGGUAUGUAAACUUCGAAAGAAUAGGAAGAAUAAAUGACGGUACUAUUUAUAAGGUCCGGCUAACUACGUGCCAGCAGCCGCGGUAAUACGUAGGGACCAAGCGUUGUUCGGAUUUACUGGGCGUAAAGGGCGCGUAGGCGGCAUGACAAGUCACUUGUGAAAUCUCUGGGCUUAACCCAGAACGGCCAAGUGAUACUGUCGCGCUAGAGUGCAGAAGGGGCAAUCGGAAUUCUUGGUGUAGCGGUGAAAUGCGUAGAUAUCAAGAGGAACACCUGAGGUGAAGACGGGUUGCUGGGCUGACACUGACACUGAGGAGCGAAAGCCAGGGGAGCAAACGGGAUUAGAUACCCCCGUAGUCCCUGAGCGGGCUGGCAAGGCGCAU